rnacentral:rRNA from 1 species
UCUGCCUCUGCAAUCGGAAUAACGACUGGAAACGGUCGCUAAUACCGGAUACGCUUAAGUUUUACCUCUUAAGGAAAGAUGACCUCUAUUUAUAAGUUAUCGUGCAGAGAUGAGUCCGCGUCCCAUUAGCUUGUUGGCGGGGUAACGGCCCACCAAGGCGACGAUGGGUAGCCGAUUUAAGAGGAUGAUCGGCCACAUUGGAACUGAAACACGGUCCAAACUCCUACGGGAGGCAGCAGUGGGGAAUAUUGCGCAAUGGGCGAAAGCCUGACGCAGCGACGCCGCGUGAGGGAUGAAGGUCUUCGGAUCGUAAACCUCUGUCAGAAGGGAAAAAUGUACAGUGCCCCAAUCAACACUGUAUUGAUGGUACCUUCAGAGGAAGCACCGGCUAACUCCGUGCCAGCAGCCGCGGUAAUACGGAGGGUGCAAGCGUUAAUCGGAAUUACUGGGCGUAAAGCGCGCGUAGGUUGUUUUGUAAGUCAGAGGUGUAAUCCCACGGCUUAACCGUGGAACUGCCUUUGAUACUGCAUAACUUGGAUCCGGGAGAGGACAGCGGAAUUCCAGGUGUAGGAGUGAAAUCCGUAGAUAUCUGGAAGAACAUCAGUGGCGAAGGCGGCUGUCUGGACCGGUAUUGACGCUGAGGCGCGAAAGCGUGGGUAGCAAACAGGAUUAGAUACCCUGGUAGUCCACGCUGUAAACGAUGGAUGCUG